GUGGCCAUGGAUGCACGGCUGCUCUGCUGUGCAAUGCUUUGUCUGCUUAGGGCAGGCUCUUCUGACGCCAAAGUAACCCAGACUCCAAGAUAUCUUGUCAAAGAAAAAGGACAGAAAGCAAAUAUGAGCUGUAUCCCUGAAAAGGGGCAUACUGCCUUUUACUGGUAUCAACAAAACCAGAAAAAAGAACUUAAAUUUUUGAUUAAUUUUGGAAAUGAAAAAGUUAUUGAACAAAUAGACUUGGUCAAGAAGCGAUUCUCAGCUAAAUGUCCCUCAGACUCAUCCUGCAGCCUCGAAAUCCAGUCCUCUGAAGCAGGAGACUCUGCGCUGUACCUCUGUGCCAGCAGUCUGUCCACAGCGCUGAAAUGUGCUUUCCCCUCUGUGCACAAACUUCAUUGUGGACGCAACUCAGGAAGUGGGUGAGGCCGGAAACUGGAAGACA